GCAAACUUGGUCAUUUAGAGGAAGUAAAAGUCGUAACAAGGUUUCCGUAGGUGAACCUGCGGAAGGAUCAUUAUUGAAUACAAACAUGGUUUAGGCUGUUGCUGACUCUAUUUUUUGAGUAUGUGCACGCCUGAUCUAUUGUCAUUUUAUCACCUGUGCACUUUGCGUAGAUCUGGAAGCUUUCGAGUUCAACUCGGAUCGAAGAAUUGCUGUAUGUACUUAUUACCAGCUCUGCUUCAUUUUAAUUCAGAUCUAUGUCUUCCAUAAAACUAUGGUAAAGUUUUAUAAAUAUUAGCUAGGCAUCUGUGUAUGCCCUAUAAACUAUCUUAUACAACUUUCAACAACGGAUCUCUUGGCUCUCGCAUCGAUGAAGAACGCAGC
rnacentral:misc_RNA from 1 species